rnacentral:rRNA from 1 species
GACGAACGCUGGCGGCGUGCUUAACACAUGCAAGUCGAACGGAAAGGCCCCUUUGGGGGUACUCGAGUGGCGAACGGGUGAGUAACACGUGAGUAACCUGCCCUUGACUUCGGGAUAACUUCAGGAAACUGGGGCUAAUACCGGAUAGGAAUCCUUGCUGCAUGGUGGGGGUUGGAAAGCUUCGGCGGUGUUGGAUGGACUCGCGGCUUAUCAGCUUGUUGGUGGGGUAGUGGCUUACCAAGGCGUUGACGGGUAGCCGGCCUGAGAGGGCGACCGGCCACAUUGGGACUGAGAUACGGCCCAGACUCCUACGGGAGGCAGCAGUGGGGAAUAUUGCACAAUGGGCGGAAGCCUGAUGCAGCAACGCCGCGUGCGGGAUGACGGCCGUCGGGUUGUAAACCGCUUUCAGCAGGGGCGAAGCUUGUGGUGACGGUACCUGCAGAAGAAGCACCGGCUAACUACGUG